rnacentral:rRNA from 1 species
GUAGGUGGCAAGUGUUGUCCGGAAUUAUUGGGCGUAAAGCGCGCGCAGGUGGUUCUUUAAGUCUGAUGUGAAAGCCCCCGGCUCAACCGGGGAGGGUCAUUGGAAACUGGGGAACUUGAGUGCAGGAGAGGAAAGUGGAAUUCCACGUGUAGCGGUGAAAUGCGUAGAUAUGUGGAGGAACACCAGUGGCGAAGGCGACUUUCUGGCCUGUAACUGACACUGAGGCGCGAAAGCGUGGGGAGCAAACAGGGAUUAGAUACCCUGGUAGUCCACGCCGUAAACGAUGAGUGCUAAGUGUUGGGGGGGUUUCCCGCCCCUCAGUGCUGCAGCUAACGCAUUAAGCACUCCGCCUGGGGAGUACGGUCGCAAGACUG